rnacentral:lncRNA from 1 species
GUCUGAAUCUACCUGUGUCAAGGUGUGGGAUGAAGAAAAAAGGGUUAUUUCUACCAUAACAGUACAGAAACAGAAAGGCAGCACUGCCAGCAACCCAGAAGCUGCCCUUGAAUCAACCUUUGAAGGAACAGACAGCAGCAGCAAUACCGGUGACAUACAGUGUUUGAGUAAUAUCUGUGUGGUUAUCGAGUCUCUAUGCAGAAAUGCGGGCUAAGAAAUUGCCUGAAGUUCCAGGGAAGACAUUAUCUACAGCACUCUGAGGAAAUAAGAUUUAAGAAAAUUUUAUUUACUAUUUCCGACAUUCCUAGAAUUCCAUCACCAGUGAGAGUCAUGAGAACACUGAUAUAAAUGAGUGUGUAGAAAGACCUAAAUGAAUAGAUCCACGUCAUACUUUUCUUUUAUUCUGAGGUUUGGCUGCCUUCCAUGUGUUCAUGAAAUAAAUUGGCUGCAGCAGAGCAGCUAGUAGCAUUCCACCGAGUGGAAGAAUCCCAGCAGGGACAGAAGCCGGCUCAGUAAGGACUAGGAAUGAGAGACAGAUCAGAUUACCAGAGUUUCUCAUCGAGCUGCAAAAUGAUGCUCCGCUCAGGCCGUGAAAAGCCAUACGGAAUGCCUCCUUGUGAGAAGCAACCAGUGAGAAAGAAGUUUCUGAUGAGCACCAGAUCAGCAGCUGCUGAAAACUCAGAGCUUCAGCUGCGGCAAACGCUGAGGUGCUACAUACAGACUGAAGAUUCAAAAACUGUGCAUUUCAACUUAGAUGAACGUGGUCGCCAUGAAAUAUCAACCAUGGAUUCACAACACCCUGCAGAUACGGCGUGGUUAAGCCUGUUCACAAGCAACAAACGAGAGGUUAGAGCAAAAACAAACUCUAAAAAUGUGGUGGUCCUCAUGCAGCGAUUAAGGUGCAAUGAAUUUGUGCUGUUGAGCAAGGGAGAAAAUCAGCUCUGUCUGAAGGUUUUAAAGGGAUGCUGUUCCGAGCCAGAUCAUUCUUCACUGGAAGAAGGCAACAGAAAAACAUGCACAAAGGGAGGUCUUGACUUCAACAAGCUGAAGGAAGACAAUCACUUUUUCAUCAUGCAUUCUGAGGGAGAUUCGGUGAAGUUCCAGUGCUACGAAGACACAAAUUACUUUCUGCAUGUGAAUGAUCACUCACUUGACAUACGCAAGCUGGAUCAUGAUGACCAGAAUGCGGAGAGAAACUUUGUCUUCAAGUUGACAUAUUUUUAG